rnacentral:rRNA from 1 species
GAUGAACGCUGGCGGCGUGCCUAAUACAUGCAAGUCGAGCGAACAGACGAGAGUGCUUGCACUCUCUGACGUUAGCGGCGGACGGGUGAGUAACACGUGGGUAACCUACCUAUAAGACUGGGAUAACUUCGGGAAACCGGAGCUAAUACCGGAUAAUAUUUAGCUUCGCAUGAAGCAAUAGUGAAAGACGGUUCUGCUGUCACUUAUAGAUGGACCCGCGGUGUAUUAGCUAGUUGGUGAGGUAACGGCUCACCAAGGCAACGAUACAUAGCCGACCUGAGAGGGUGAUCGGCCACACUGGGACUGAGACACGGCCCACACUCCUACGGGAGGCAGCAGUAGGGAAUCUUCCGCAAUGGACGAAAGUCUGACGGAGCAAUGCCGCGUGAGUGAAGAAGGUUUUCGGAUCGUAAAACUCUGUUGUAAGGGAAGAACAAGUACGUUAGUAACUGAACGUACCUUGACGGUACCUUAACAGAAAGCCACGGCUAACUACGUG